AAACUUUCAACAACGGAUCUCUUGGUUCUGGCAUCGAUGAAGAACGCAGCGAAGUGCGAUAUGUGAUGUGAAUUGCAGGAUUCAGUGAAUCAUCGAGUUUUUGAACGCACCUUGCGCCCCCCGGCAUCCCGGUAGGCACGCCUGUCCGAGCGUUAUU
rnacentral:rRNA from 1 species